CCUACGGGAGGCAGCAGUGAGGAAUAUUGGUCAAUGGACGAGAGUCUGAACCAGCCAAGUAGCGUGAAGGAUGACUGCCCUAUGGGUUGUAAACUUCUUUUAUCACGGAAUAAAACGGGGCACUUGUGCCUUUUUGCAUGUACUUUAUGAAUAAGGAUCGGCUAACUCCGUGCCAGCAGCCGCGGUAAUACGGAGGAUCCGAGCGUUAUCCGGAUUUAUUGGGUGUAAAGGGAGCGUAGAUGGGUUGUUAAGUCAGUUGUGAAAGUUUGCGGCUCAACCGUAAAAUUGCAAUUGAUACUGGCAGUCUUGAGUACAGUUGAGGUAGGCGGAAUUCGUGGUGUAGCGGUGAAAGGAGUAGAUAUCACGAAGAACCCCGAUUGCGAAGGCAGCUUACUAAACUGUGACUGACAUUGAUGCUCGAAAGUGUGGGUAUCAAACAGGAGUAGAUACCCCUGUAGUC
rnacentral:rRNA from 1 species